CGGGCUGUGGCGCAGUUUGGUAGCGCACCUGACUGGGGGUCAGGGGGUCGCCGGUUCAAGUCCGGCCAGCCCGA
rnacentral:tRNA from 1 species